CGUCUAGCCUUCCACCUCUCUCGAUUAAUGUCCACGAUAGGCCACGAAAUCGCCAUCUCUUCCUCUCCGCCGGGAUUCUCGCAAACGGAUUGAGGCAUACGACAAGUUCUCACAUGAUUUCUGCAUAUAAAUUGGGUCGAGCGCCUCAGCCUAUUUCCGCAUGAAGUCCCUUCCUCGAUUAGGAUUUUCCAUGGAGCACUCCUCCGGUUCUCCAAUUGACAACUUCUUGAUAAAGGUCAUGGCUUGCAGCGUUGAUUAUUCCUUUAGCGAUGAUCUAUAGCCAAUCUCUCUCUCCCAGGUUCACAAUGUGGCUGGAGCACCUAAUGCUGCUUAUGGUACUCGAGUAUUGUUUCCUCUGAAGGCAUCUACGCUUCCAAGUAUUUCAAAUUAUGUGAUAGAGGAGAUUACUGGUGAAAUAUACAAGACAUUAAUACAACAUGGGGACCAAGAUUGGUAAGAAAGACAAGCUCAAGAAAGUGACCUUAUACAUUCCAUGAAGGCAUGAUAGGCUCCAGAUGUUCUACUGAAACAUGACACCUCUUCUAUUAUCUUAGAGAAGACGAACCUAGGAGAAUCAGGCGUCCAGAUGAUUCAGGUAGUAAAUUACGGGCCGACACUGGCAGAGGUGAGCUAGUGCACCCAAUAAGAUGAACCAGACCAAGGUGAGCUACUGCACCCAAUCAGGUGACCUUUGUUGGAUUUUCGAGGCAUGAAUGCAGCCGGUCUAGCUGAGGUCAUCCAGGGAGGACAAUACUGGCUAGCAAGGAUAUUGGCUCUUGUUGUGAGUGUUGUAAUUGAUCUCAGGUAACAAACUGAGAGAAGUAUAAGGGGAAGUGGUCCACCAUGUUCCCCUGACCUUGGAGCCUAGCUCUCCCACGUACGUGCCCUGAUCGGGAGACACCGAGACCAACAGUUGGACUCGAUCCCGUCUACCCAACACUUGAUAUAUAAAGGAAAUGAUCCCUCAUACCAGAUCUACCGAUCUACAGGGUAAGAGUUGUCAUUAACCAAAACUACCGAUCCUAAAGAAGUGCUGAGGGUGGCGAAGACCAGUCUCCACCGCCGGCCACCAGGAGGGUAGUGCCGGUGGCUCUCCUGCACCUCUACACCACCAGCAGUCAUCUAUCUCAACCACGAUGAUCUACACAUCGUCUGGAUCGAGCAGGCAAAGGAAUUCGUCAUCGACUUGUAAGUGCAUCUCCUGAUCUCUCCAUCAAGGUACUCUAAUCCAUGAUCAGUUAAUGUUGUUGUUGUCCUAAUGACAAGCAAAUAAUGCUAACAUUGGUAUGAGAGCAAUCUGAUCAUCUUUAAAGUCCUAAUUUUGAUUAGGAGACAAUGUUUAAGCCUCGGCCCUUAAUAUGUAGACUAUGCUUAUGUCUUAUGGAUCAUGUUUAAAGAAAAUUAUGUUGAUGCUCUAAGCCCCAGAUUAACCCACCUAUCAUGUCAAUUAUCUGUGAUAAUUAUUCAUGUUUGGGGAGCACGAAAUCUUGAAAGAAAAUCCCCAAAUUGCUGAUGAAUCUUCUAUAUUAUGAUAUGAAGGGUCUUGGUAAUGCCUCAUACCUUGAUUGUAUUAAGUUUCGCCAAGAUAUAAGUCCAAUCCAAAAGGAUUAUAUGUUCUAUUAUGAUGACAUAUGUUGAUGGAGUACGAGAGAAAAAUAUUAUGCACUUUUACUCUAUCUCACCUGCUACUAAAGCUAAGGGAGAUAAAGAUGUACAUUUCAAUGUCAUAGGAACCAUUUUAAACUGGUCAGAUAAUGUUGGUUCCUUGGGCUUCAGUUGUCAAAAGCAAUAUGUGUAUUCAAGUAUGAACACGCCCUAUUUACAAUUGGGAUAAUUGGAAAGUGUACAAUAAGUUUAGCAAUGGACUGUUGGAAGAGCCGCGAAAAGGUCUUGCGGUACAUGCAAGACAAUAAACUUUACAUGCUUAUUAAUAAGAUGUCUGCUAACCUCAAUAUCGUGGGUUAUUUAGACAUUGUUUUUGCGAGGUGUGUGGACAUUAAGGUUUCCACGUCAUGUUAAAUCCUCACCUUCCCAUGUGGAGCUAUAUCAUGGAAAAGCUCCAAAAUUAAUAUUGAUGACAUCAGUAAUGAUGCAAAACUAUUAAGUGGCAUGUUAAGAGGCUAUUGGGCAUGUUGUAUGUCAGAGAAGUUUUAUUCCUGGAAUUGAGGUGGUAGACAAUAUUUCUAAACCACUUACUGCAUUAUGAACACACAGUUUUCUAUGCGAGUAACAACAAGUCAAAUGGUGUUGCCAAAACCAUAUUGACAACAUGUUUCAUGUUGUGACAAAUAGAAUCCAGGAUCAAGCUACUUUUGUUAAGCAUAUAAAUAUGUUUUUUUUGGAUCCGUUUGCCUAAGGCUUGUCACCCAUUUUAUCAUUAUGUUGCCGGCAUGGGUUGAUAGAAAGCCUUUGGAUUCUGGAAACAAGGACCGUCAAAUAAACCAACUCCCACGAAGUAUUAUGUUUUCUACUUCGAGAUAGGAUGGUGUACUAUAAGUCUGAGGUUCAGUGUCAUGUCAUUGAUCAUUGUAACACAUUACCUUAG